rnacentral:rRNA from 1 species
UACGGAGGAUGCAUGCGUUAUCCGGAUUUAUUGGGUUUAAAGGGUGCGCAGGUUGUUUGAUAAGUCAGUGGUGAAAGUCUGUCGCUUAACGGUAGGAUUGCCAUUGAUACUGUUGGACUUGAAUAUGGAUGAGGUAGGCGGAAUGUGUAGUGUAGCGGUGAAAUGCAUAGAUAUUACACAGAACACCGAUUGCGAAGGCAGCUUACUAAUCCAUCAUUGACGCUGAGGCACGAAAGCGUGGGGAUCAAA